AUUGAACGCUGGCGGCGGGCCUAACACAUGCAAGUCGAACGAGUGGCGGACGGGUGAGUAAUACCUGGGAAACUGCCCGAUGGAGGGGGAAAAAUAAUGGAAACGGUAGCUAAUACCGCAUACCGGCGGAUGUGGCCAGAUGGGAUUAGGGAGUAGGAGGGUGAAAGGCGGACCUCGGCGACGAUCCGUAGCUGGUCUGAGAGGAUGACCGGCCACAUGGGAACUGAGACACGGUCCAGACUCCUACGGGAGGCAGCAGUGGGGAAUCUUGCACAAUGGGCGCAAGCCUGACGCAGCAAUGCCGCGUGUAUGAAGAAGGCCUUCGGGUUGUAAAGUACUUUCAGCAGGGAGGCGGUACCCGCAGAAGAAGCACCGGCUAACUCCGUGCCAGCAGCCGCGGUAAUUC
rnacentral:rRNA from 1 species